rnacentral:piRNA from 1 species
UGAUUGAUAAUCGAGGUGGUGUUUU